rnacentral:lncRNA from 1 species
AAUCUCUAGCACCAGGGACUGGAUGUCAUUAUCAGUGAUUCUUUUGAUGUGGCCAUUCCGUACCUACAAGAAAGAAAAUUCGAUUAGUACUGAAAUAUCUGACAAGGCUGAAUAGGACUAUUUAAAGAAAACCACGGUAGCCCAAGAGGCGUACAAAGAAAUUUGUGACACAGCACACUGAAGCUUAUAUGUAAGUAAGCCAAGCUAUUACCUCUAGACAGGGUCACACCAACCACCAAGGGAAUCCCAGGUAACUUGGCAAUCCCUAAAUCUGGGGAAACUUCUCCCCAAAUACAUCAACUCAAUUUAGAUUCAGCUAAUAUCUACUGAAUGCCUACUAUGCACCAGGAAUAUCACACACAUCCCCUUCUCACUUAAGCCUCACACAAUAAAAACAACAAGGCAGGUGAUACUGUUUUCAUUUUACAAAUGUGGACAUUGGCACCCCGGAACUGCAAAUGCCAAACCCUAAGUAGGAGACUAAGGAUUCAGCAGCCUUUCCACUGCCUCAUACUGCCUCGUAGAUUUCUUUCUUUCUCUUUCUUUUUUCUUUUUUCUGAGACGGAGUCUCGCCCUGUCGCCCAGGCUGGAGUGCAAUGGCGCGAUCUUGGCUCACCGCAACCUCUGCCUUCCAGGUUCAAGCGAUUCUCUUGCCUCAGCCUCCUGAGUAGCUGGGAUUAUAAGCGUGCAGCACCAUGCCCAGCCGAUUUUUUUUUUUGUAUCUUUAGUAGAGACGGGGUUUCACCAUGUUGGCCAGGCUGGUCUCGAACUCCUGACCUUGUGAUCCACCUGCCUUGGCCUCCCAAAGUGCUGGAAUUACAGGCAUGGGCCACUGCGCCCGUCCUGCCUUGUAUAUUUCUUUGGCCAGAAAAGCCAAAGAAAAGCUGAGUGUUACUGAGGAGGGCAGCAACAAAAAGUGAAAGCAUUCCUCCCCUGGAGUUAUCCUGCUUCAUGCUUCCCUAUCUGCUUUUGCCUAAUUUUCUACUUUUUAAAGCAGGAAUUCAAUUCCCAUCUGUGCCACACACAGAUGCCUUCUUUAGCAUUUUCAGCCCACACUGACCUCUCUUUUCUCUGAUUUGUUUUUCUGGCUCAUGUUGUCUAGACGACAUAAUUUAGCACCUCAUCCUACAUUGUUUUGUAUUGUUUGCUGCAUAUGUAGGAGGUAGAUGAUGGGGAGGAAUCAAUAUUCAAUACAGAUUCCUCCUCUCAAAAUAUUUAGGAAAGAACAAUUAUCUUCAAGCAUUAAACUUUUAAGCAACUAAUAUGGACAGAACAGAGAUAUGCAAAGGCACUUUCAAAACAGGGCUGGGGCCAGGCACAGUGGCUCAUGCCUGUAAUCCCAGCACUUUGGGAGGCCAAGGCAGGAGGAUAGCUUGAGCUCAGGAGUUCAAGAUCAGCUUGGGCAACAUAGUAAGACAUUGUUUCUACAAAAAAUUAGCCAGGUGUGGUGGCGUGCACCUGUAGUGUGCCUAUAGUCCCAACUACUUGGGAGGCUAAGGUGGGAGGAUCACUUGAGCUCAGGAGGUCCAGGCUGCAGUGAGCUGUGUUUGUGCCACUGCACUCCAGCCUAGAGGAGUAGGUGACAGAGCAAGACCCUAUCUCAAAAAAAACAAAACAAAAAACGAAAAAAAAAAAACAAAACCAAAAAAACAUGGCUGGGGUCAGGCAUGGUGGUUCACGCUUGUAAUCCCAGCACUUUGGGAGGCCGAGGCGAGAGAACUGCUUGAGCUCAGGAGUUCAAGACCAGUCUGGACAACAUGAUGAAACCCCAUCUCUACAAAAAAUUAGCCAGGUGUAGUGGCACGUGCCUAUCGUCUCAGUUCCUCAGGAGGCUGAGGUGGGAGGAUAACCUGAGCCUGGGAGGUCGAGGCUGCAGUGAGCCGUGAUUGUGCCACUGUACUCAAGCCUGGGCGACAGAGUGAGAUCCUGUCUCAAAAAUGAACAAACAAACAAAAAAACAAGGCUGGACUAUUAGGGCUGAAUGGAAUAACAUAUGAAAAAGAUCAACUAGGUUUAGAACAGGAGACAUCAGAAAGACAAACAUACGGUCUUUCUUUGUGGAAAGGGCUGUGUUAGGCUGCCAUAAUCAAUGACUCAAUCACACUGACUAAAGCUCCUCUUGUUCACUCAUCAGCCUGCUGAUUACGAUUUGGCUAUUAGACUUGCAUAUGGGGAUAAAUCAGUGUUGGGUCUGGUAGUUUUAUUUUUCAACAUAAAUUAUUAAUAAUAUGUUUCUGUUUUUAGACAUUAGUCUCUGUGAGCUCUGUCACUGUGAGUCUGAUCCACUCAUGGUCUGCCUGGUGUUCUAAAGGUGACAUCUGAUGUCACUGCCCACCUUUUCCACAACUGCAACCAAGUCUUGUCUCCUUAAAAAAGAAUAAGCUCAAGCAAGAGCCAAGACCAGUUAUGAAGCAUCAUUUCUAUCUUCGACAAUGCUUAGCACAGUGCUAGCCAUAAACUAAGCGUUCAAAUAUUUGCUGACUUCUGGAAUCUGUCACCCUAAGAGCUGGCACAUAUGAAUAGGUUCAAGGAGGGUUUUAAAAAUUCCUGGAUAACACAUCCCCCGUGGACUAUUAUAGGAAGCCAGAGAUCUGGGGCAUAUCACAAAGCCCACAGGGCCGCCAGCAUGAAGAAUGCUUCCACAAAUGGGUGCCCAUUGUCAGAGACAGAAUACUGGGCUAGACGGGACCCCAAUCCCUGCCAAUGGAGCAUUUCUUAGGCUCUCAAGACACAAAACGUCACAUUGAAACGAUUCUCAAACAAAGCUGGCAAUGUUCAAUGCCCUCCUGCUUUGAAUUCUGGGCCCCUUUCCAAGGAGAUUAAGAGCACAAAGGCCUGGGUCUGUGCAGAAUACGCCACUACUGCCCGCCUCACUCGCCAUCUACUGUUCCCAACCUAAGUGCCCACCUCACUCGCCAUCUACUGUUCCCAACCUAAGUGCCCACCUCACUCGCCAUCUCAUGUUCCCAACCUAAGUGCCCACCUCACUCGCCAUCUACUGUUCCCAACCUAAGUGCCCACCUCACUCGCCAUCUCAUGUUCCCAACCUAAGUGCCCACCUCACUCGCCAUCUACUGUUCCCAACCUAAGUGCCCACCUCACUCGCCAUCUCAUGUUCCCAACCUAAGUGCCCACCUCACUCGCCAUCUCAUGUUCCCAACCUAAGUGGCGAUAUUCCUCCUGUAUUUUCUGUGGAAAACCAAGCAGAUUCAGUGAAGAAGGAAUUAAUGAAGAAAUCAUUUCCAACUAAUGCGAGCAGCCCUACUGAUAAGAGCUGGCAGUAUUCCAACAAGAUGCAAACACUACUUUUAUAACACACCACUAAUUAUUCUCAAUAACAUAACCAUUCUUUAAAACGGGACAAACUGCAAAGAGCAAAUAGACAGUUAAAUUGACAGGAUUAAGAAGUAACUUGGGCCUGAAAACUGCUAUUGCUAAAAAGCAACAUGUUGCUAUUGAUCCACCCUUAUUUAAAGCAUGCCCUCAAAUUUCACAUCACUCAAGCUCUCUCUGGCCAGUGUCAACAAGAGGCCUCCCUCAGUUCCAGAAAGACCAGCCAGAUCUCACAGGGAGAAAAUGUUAGGGAAUCUGCCUUCUGCCCAUCUCAAAGUUUACGACUUCCCUGGAACUCCAGCAGAUAUGACCUAUUCAGGUCUUCACAGAAGAAAACAAAGCCGUACAAUGCACACAGAAGCCAAUGCAGGCUGGAAGCUGGAUAGACUGUAGUAUUCCUGCACUUCUGCCCAGAGGCAAGCUAACUUUUAGUUGGAUUUUCAAUAAAUUACUAAAGAGAUUUCUUUUUCUCCCAGUGUUACUAGAUAACAAACACACUCACAAAUUUAAGUUUUACAAAAUGAAUGAAUGUAUUCCACAAAACAAGGGAACUUGGAGGGGUCAAGGCAACUUUGUUGAAGGAAUGCCCAUCAGUCUCUCUAGAUUUUGAACCUGGCUGGUGGUAAGACAAACUAAACAGAGCUUUUCCCCAAGAGACUGUUUAACCCCCGAUGAAGAAAAACACAAGUAUCCCCAUGUGAAAAGUCUCCAGAGGUUUGAAAUCAAAUUAAGUGGAUUUGUUAGUGAAUUGUGAUUUUUCUCCUUUAUUAAGUUUAAAGGGCUGCAAAUACAAACUCACUGGAAAAGAGUAGCGUGGAGGUGGUAAGGGCGAUCAAUCAGAUAUGUGCAUUAGAGGGUAAUUUCCCAAAGCCUCUUCUCUAGGCUCUAAAACUAGGAUCAAAGGGGAGAGGCGACAGGCAAUUUGGGGCAAAGGCUCCCCACCACCCUGGCCAUGUGGCUGUCAUUGCCUAAUAUUAUAAAGGUCUUCCAGGAAAGCAACCGUCUCCUAAAACCAGCUUCUGAAAACAGCAUACAGGAAGAUACAUGUCUCAGAAAGUAUCAACGUCCUUUCCUUAGCUCCUUCCAGUUCAGAGGUCACUGGGCAGGCGUGGCUUUGGGAUGAAGAUAAAAUGAACUGCUCAGCAUUUAUUGCUCAUGGCGGAAGCAGGUUUUAACAUGUUCUGUCCUUCUCUAGAUCACAAAGAGCCGACUGUUUUUGAUUUGUUAAUUCUUUUUCAUUCAUGACACAUUCCCACUAUCAAAGUGUGGCCUAUGAGUGCUUUAUUCCUCAAAAAAAAUAAAAUAAAAAUAAAAAUCUAAAGCCAAUAUUGUUUUAUUUCAUUAAUUUCCCCUCCCCUGCCCAUGAGCUGGAGAUACUCAAAGAGCUUCAGAAUCCAGUUACUGGCAAUUACAGAUCAUAAUGGUUCUCUGCCUCUGCAGACAACAGAGGUGACCAAAGCUUCAGGCCAGUCUUACAAUCACUCUCCCAGGCUUUCCAUGGUUGCUAGGGCAACUAAUAAAGAACACCGAUUUCUCUCCCUCCCCGCAAUGUAAGCCUCAGGGAGGUGGGUCAAGCUGAGGGAAAAAAAAAAUACUACUACUGGGAUAGGGAGGGAGCUGGUGGAUGCUGUAUAUUUCUAUGACUGCUUUAAAAAUAACAUGAGUUGUAUCCAUUCCCUCCCCCAACUUUCAUUUUUCUGGCCCCACCCACUCAGCCUGGCAGGCAGCUGAACCCUCAGCCAUCUGGCAUCCUAGCUUUAAUGACACAUGCUCUAAUUUACAUUAAACCAUUAGAGCUGUCCAUUUCAGCAGGAAAGUUCCUGCACUGGGUUAAGGGCUGGGUUCCCAGACAGAAAUUAGGCAGAGGGAGACCCCUGUGGGGAGAACUGAGCAUAGCUCCGACUCAGACUCCCAGGCUCCAAGGGUCAAAGGCUUCACUCCCUUCGCUGUACUUGACAGGGGCUAUCCAGACAGCAGACAAGCAACUCUGGGCAUACACCAACAACCCCUAAGUCAGCGUAAGGACAAUUAUGUGCACAGCUAAGAAAAGGCAAGUGUAAUUAAAACCCAUGUCUUCGGACGGGCGCGGUGGCUCACGCCUGUAAUCCCAGCACUUUUGGAGGCUGAGGUGGGAGGAUCACCUGAGAUCAGGAGUUUGAGACCAGCCUGGGCAACAUGUGAAACCCCAUCUCUACUAAAAAUACAAAAAAAUUAGCUGGGUGUGGUAGCGCAUGCCUGUAAUCCCAGCUACUCAGGAGGCUGAGGCAGGAGAAUUGCUUGAAUCCAGAAAGAGGAGGUUGCAGUAAGCUGAGAUUGUGCCAUUGCACUCCAGCCUGGGUGACAGAGCGAGACUCUGUUUCAAAAAAAAAGAAAAACAAAACCAAAAAACCAUGUCUUCGUUCAAUUACAGUAAAACCUGACUCAGAAUAAUGAAGAACAUUCUCCAAGUCAGAAAAAAAGUUUUACCACCUUUAUGUCCAAAUACACUCAAUUCUACUACUGAAAACAGCACCAAUUUAAUUUUUAUCAACAAGGCAUGCUAACUAAAAACUAGAAUGUAGGAAAUUUUUUCUGAAGAGAGACUUUAUUUUUAAAAUUAGAACAGGACAUGGGAAUCUAACACUAUCCAGCAACAGCAGAAGACUCUGGUCUAAUAUUUAGUCUUGGAGUAGGGGAGAAACAGCAGCAGCUGAGAGAAAGACAGGGUGACAGGAAAGACAGACAAAGGCGUUUUCAUGAAUUAAUGCAAUCUCAUCUCAUGUACUUUUAGGAUACUAUCUUGUUUUUUUUGAGACAAAGUUUUGCUUUUGUUGCCCAGGCUGGAGUGCAAUGGCACCAUCUCGGCUCACCGCAACCUCCACCUCCCGGGUUCAAGUGAUUCUCCUGCCUCAGCCUCCCGAGUAGCUGGGAUUACAGGCAUGUGCCACCAUGCCCGGCUAACUUUUGUAUUUUUAGUAGAGACGGGAUUUCUUCAUGUUGGUCA